rnacentral:rRNA from 1 species
UACGGAGGGGGCUAGCGUUGUUCGGAAUUACUGGGCGUAAAGCGCACGUAGGCGGCUUUGUAAGUUAGAGGUGAAAGCCUGGAGCUCAACUUCAGAAUAGCCUUUAAGACUGCAUCGCUUGAAUCCAGGAGAGGUGAGUGGAAUUCCGAGUGUAGAGGUGAAAUUCGUAGAUAUUCGCAAGAACACCAGUGGCGAAGGCGGCUCACUGGCCCGGUACUGACGCUGAGGCACGAAAGCGUGGGGAGCAAACAGG